GUCUUUUUGAUAAUAAUUUAAAGUCUAGCCUGCCCAGUGAGGAGUUAAAUGGCCGCGGUAUUUUGACCGUGCAAAGGUAGCAUAAUCACUAGUUUUUUAAUUGAAAGCUUGAAUGAAAGGUUGGAUGAGGGAAUUACUGUCUCUAUAAAAAUUUAUUAAAAUUUUAUUUUUAAGUUAAAAAGCUUAAAUGUUUAUAAAAGACGAGAAGACCCUAUAGAGUUUUAUAUAAAAAUAUAAUUAUAUAGAAAAGAAAGUUUAUAGAUGUAAUUUUAUUUUUAUAUUUAGUUGGGGUGAUUGAAAAAUUAAUGAAACUUUUUUUGUAUUUUUACAUUUAUUAAUGAUAUUAUGAUCCUUAUUUAAAGAUUAAAAGAUAAAAUUACCUUAGGGAUAACAGCGUAAUUUUUUUGGAGAGUUCAAAUCGAUAAAAAAGUUUGCGACCUCGAUGUUGGAUUAAAAUUUAAUUUUGGUGUAGGGGCUAAAGAUUUAGGUCUGUUCGACCUUUAAAAUUUUACAUGAUCUGAGUUUAAACCGGCGUGAG
rnacentral:rRNA from 1 species